UGGCCUCAAAUCAGGUAGGACUACCCGCUGAACUUAAGCAUAUCAAUAAGCGGAGGAAAAGAAACUAACAAGGAUUCCCUUAGUAACGGCGAGUGAACCGGGAAGAGCUCAAAUUUGAAAUCUGGCAGUCUUCGAUUGUCCGAGUUGUAAUCUAUAGAAGCGUUUUCCGUGCUGAACUGUGUAUAAGUCCCUUGGAACAGGGUAUCAAAGAGGGUGACAAUCCCGUACUUUACACAAUCAUCAGUGCUCUGUGAUACGUUCUCUACGAGUCGAGUUGUUUGGGAAUGCAGCUCAAAAUGGGUGGUAAAUUCCAUCUAAAGCUAAAUAUUGGCGAGAGACCGAUAGCGAACAAGUACCGUGAGGGAAAGAUGAAAAGCACUUUGGAAAGAGAGUUAAACAGUACGUGAAAUUGUUGAAAGGGAAACGAUUGAAGUCAGUCGUGUUCAUUGGACUCAGCCGGUUUUCGGUGUAUUUCCUUUGAACGGGUCAACAUCAGUUUUGUCCGGUGGAUAAAGGUAGUAGGAAGGUGGCUCCCCCGGGAGUGUUAUAGCCUAUUGCCACAUGCACUGGAGGAGACUGAGGACUGCAGCUUGCCUUUAUGGCCGGGGUUCGCCCACGUUCAAGCUUAGGAUGUUGACAUAAUGGCUUUAAACGACCCGUCUUGAAACACG
rnacentral:rRNA from 1 species